rnacentral:rRNA from 1 species
ACGGAAGGCAGCAGUGGGGAAUAUUGGACAAUGGGGGAAACCCUGAUCCAGCGACGCCGCGUGAGUGAAGAAGUAUUUCGGUAUGUAAAGCUCUAUCAGCAAGGAAGAAAAUGACGGUACUUGACUAAGAAGCCCCGGCUAACUACGUGCCAGCAGCCGCGGUAAUACGUAGGGGGCAAGCGUUAUCCGGAUUUACUGGGUGUAAAGGGAGUGUAGGCGGGACUGUAAGUCAGAUGUGAAAGCACGAGGCUCAACUUCGUGUCUGCAUUUGAAACUGACGUUCUUGAGUGUUGGAGAGGCUAACGGAACUCCUAGUGUAGCGGUGAAAUGCGUAGAUAUUAGGAAGAACACCAGUGGCGAAGGCGGUUAGCUGGACAAUAACCGACGCUGAGGCGCGAAAGCGUGGGUAGCAAACAGGAUUAGAUACCCUGGUA